rnacentral:piRNA from 1 species
UAUUGAUCUGUCUGCACAAGCC